GGAUGUUCACGGAACGCCAGGCACCAAAGGGCCAGAAGCGUCCCCCUGCAGGACCAGCACUUGGCCAUGGCCAUCCUGCUGGAGCUGGCUGUGCAGAGAGGCACGCUGAGCCAAAUGUUGUCUGCCAUCCUGUUGUUGCUUCAGCUGUGGGACAGCGGGGCACAGGAGACUGACAAUGAGCGUUACCACCCAGGGCACCAGCGUCCCGCUUUUGCCCUUGCUGCAAAGGUUCCAGAGCAUCAUUUGCAGGAAGGAUACGCCCCACUCCGAGGGCGACAUGCACCUUUUGUCUGGCCCUCUGAGCCCCAGCGAGAGUUUCCUGAGGUACCUCACCCUUCCCCAAGACAGCGAGCUUGCCACUGAUCUGCGACAGACCGUGGUUGUCGUCAUGGGCCAUUUAGACCGUCUGGCUACACCGUUUGCCUCCGCUGUGUAGCGCUCCGACGUCUCAUAAGGUGUGUGCAAGAACCACGUUCUCCAUGUGUUUUGUGGCUAGUACCACUUCUAGGUUCUCAUCCUGGGCCCGUGUGGAGACUUGGUUUUCUGGUAUUGAUGGGGGAAGCUGGCUUGUGGUUUUAAACGUGUUUGCAGUUGAAGGUGUUCCCCGUGUGGAGAGUGAGUGAUGAGCAAGCUGAGGUGCACAGGCCUAGGGACCCAACCUGGGGGCCCAGGUUCCAGGUUCAGGUAGCACAGCCCCAGAGAGCUUCCCCUUAUCUGCAGCCCCAGGCCCUCCCACCUUCUGCAGGGGAUUCCACAGCCUUCUUUAUACUCUGAAGGCGGGCUGUCUUAGUAUGUAAUGCUGGUUAUGGUAGUGACAGUAUAGUUCUAUAUUCUAUCUGUCAUGUAAUAGUAAUGGUAAUAGUAGUGAUUUGCGUGUGUGGAGCACCUGUAGGGUGCAGGCCCGCUGAGGACCUCAUGCAUGCUGUUGUAUCUCAUUAUGUCAAUGAGAAAAGUGCCUUUGGGAAUGGUGGUGACCUUUGCCAGGGUAUAACAGCAAUCUUAGUUUUGAAUCGAUUUUUCUAACAUUUUAUGUCUAAUAUGAAGAGUAUUUAUUUUGUUUUAGUCAUUGAAAAAAAGGCCCCGCGUGGUGGCUCACGCCUGUAAUCCCAGCACUUUGGGAGGCCGAGGUGGACGGAUCACAAGGUCAGGAGAUCGAGACCAUCCUGGUGAACACGGUGAAACCCUAUUUCUAUGAAAAAUACAAAAAAUUAGCCGGGCGUGGUGGCGGGCGCCUAGUCCCAGCUACUCGGGAGGCUGAGGCAGGAGAAUGAUGUAAACCCGGAAGGCGGAGGUUGCAGUGAGCCAAGAUCCUGCCAUUGCACUCCAGCCUGGGCGACAGAGCCAGACUUUGUCUCAAAAAAAAAAAAAGAAUACAGUCACAUGGUUCGAAAAUCAAACCUAGGCAGAGACACACUGUCGCUUUCCCUGCCCACCCCUUCUACCCAGUUUCCCACCUGCUCCCUCGACUUUUCAGUCUCCUCUGUAACCUCCGUGUUCUCUGGAAUGAGUAGCUAGUGGUAGCAGGUUGCAUUACUUGUGGUGUGUGUUUUUUACUAACCAUAUGUACUGGAGUACUUUAUCAGAGUGUGGCUCUUUGUUUUUAUAAAGCAACUUAGUAUUCAGUGUGCGGAUGUGUGUUUUAUGUAUCUUUGUUUAGUGACUCUCUUAUUGGUGGACACUAGGGCUUAUUGCCACAAUGUUGCUAUACAAAUAGUGCUGAGGGCCUGGUGUGGUGACUUACGUCUAUAAUCCCAGCACAUUGGGAGGCCGAGGUGGUUGGAUCACCUGAGGUUGGGAGUUUUAGAACAGCCUGGCUAACUUGGAGAAACCCCAUCUCUACUAAAAACUACAAAAAUUAGCCGGGCAUGGUGGCACGUGCCUGUAAUCCCAGCUACUCAGGAGGCUGAGGCAGGAGAAUCACUUGAACCCGGGAGGCGGAAGUUUCAGUGAGCUGAGAUGGCACCACUGCACUCUAGCCUGGGCAACAAGAGUGAAACUCCUCAAACAACAAUAACAACAACAAUAAAACAAACACAAAUAGUGCUGCAGGGCCUGCCCUGGAACACGUGUGCUGCAUGUGUGCACGCGUGUGUGCCUCUGCCCAUGCACAGGUGGGGAUGCACCCAGUGUGGGCUGGUUGUCACCAGGUUGCUCCUGCACAGCUUGAUUUCUCUCACCGCCGACAUGGAUGCUGGUCUCCCAGCCUCGCGUGUGGGCUUUUGGGAUUUUGCCUCCUAAAGCACAAAAUGGUGACCCUGAUGUAGUUUGAGCAUUUUAAAGUAUAUUAGUAUUUAAGGGCCAUUGAUACUACUUUUUAAUGGGCUCUGUUAAAAUGAAACGCGAUGGAAAUGGAAAACUAACCUGUUCAGUCACUUCAUCAUACCUGUUAAAUGAGGUAAUACGGCGUGGUACCAGCUAUUUUGAUGUUUUGAAUCAGCAUAUUUUCUCUUUAUUUGCUUUGUUUUUAGCUUAUAAUAUCUCAGUGUUACUCCCAUUCUUUUUUUUUUUUAUUUUGGUGUUGUAAAAGAAAACGUUUACUUUCUUAUUUUACAGGGAUCAUUGCAAGAGGUCAUAGGUUGGGGGUUAAUAGGAUGGAAAUACUAUGCCAAUGUGAUUGGUCCGAUCCAGUGCGAAGGCCUGGCCAACCUGGGAGUCACACAGAUUGCCUGUGCAGAGAAGCGCUUCCUGAUUCUGUCACACAAUGGCCGUGUGCACACACAGGCCUACAAUAGUGACACACUGGUGAGUGUUCUGGGCACUGUGCCUGCAGUGUUCCCUUGGCGGGCAGGGUCUGUACUGCAGAU
rnacentral:lncRNA from 1 species